UACGUAGGGUGCGAGCGUUGCCCGGAUUUAUUGGGCGUAAAGGGCGCGUAGGCGGCUCGGCACGUCCGUUGUGAAAUCGCCCGGCUCAACUGGGCGGGGUCAGCGGAUACGGUCGAGCUUGAGCAAGCUAGGGGGCAAUGGAAUUCCCGGUGUAGUGGUGGAGUGCGUAGAUAUCGGGAGGAACACCAGUGGCGAAGGCGGUUGCCUGGAGCUUUGCUGACGCUGAGGCGCGAAAGCGUGGGGAGCGAUCCGG
rnacentral:rRNA from 1 species